rnacentral:rRNA from 1 species
AUUGAACGCUGGCGGCAGGCCUAACACAUGCAAGUCGAGCGGAGCGGCGGACGGGUGAGUAAUGCCUAGGAAUCUGCCUGGUAGUGGGGGAUAACGUCCGGAAACGGGCGCUAAUACCGCAUACUAUCAGAUGAGCCUAGGUCGGAUUAGCUAGUUGGUGGGGUAAAGGCCUACCAAGGCGACGAUCCGUAACUGGUCUGAGAGGAUGAUCAGUCACACUGGAAGUGAGACACGGUCCAGACUCCGACGGGAUGCAGCAGUGUGGACGAUUGUACAAUGGUCGAAAGCCUGAUCCAGCCAUGCCGCGUGCGUGAAGAAGUACUGCGGAUUGUAAAGCACUUUCAGUUGCGACGCGUUACCAACAGAAUAAGCACCUGCUAACUUCGUGCCAGCAGCCGCUGUAAUUC